rnacentral:lncRNA from 1 species
UUUCCUUUGAAGCAAGGAGGAAAAGCACAAGGUGACAUGGCACUGAAAACUCCAAAGCUGAGACGCUGUAGUCGUUUUAGAUACUGUGCUGCAGCCCCGUUUGAUCUGUCUUCUCAGAUCCCAGAAGACAUAACUGAGAGAAGAUCCUCAUCUGUUAGCUCCCUCUGUUGGCAUUGUCCCUCCCUUAAGAGUUCCCUUUUUUUUUUUUGCUUUGUCUUGUACAUUUGUGUUCUAGGUGUGUGGGAGACAGGAGGCCCUUGUCCUGUGAGCCAUUUCUGCCCAGAAGGAGCCAGCUUUCCCUUAGCCUGCCUUGCAGGGACCUACAACAACCUCACCAGACAAGCUGCAUGCUUCCCUUGUGCCGCAGGAUACUACUGCCCAGAGAAUACUACCAGCUACAGUGUGAAUCCUUGCCCAGCUGGCUUUUACUGCCCUAAAGGUGAGAUGGGCACAGGGGGCAAGGCCAUCCAUUGACCAGGCUGAAACAUCUUCUUUUGAAAGGCAGGCAGUGGUCCCUGUGAAAUAAAGCUUCAGGGGUCAGUCUGGUCCUUCUGUGAGGAAGGACAACCUUUUAAACCAUAGGCAAGGCUGUCAUUUAAGCCCCUCACUGGUAAAUUAAGCAGCUCACAGAGGUUGUCAUGGCUGUAAAGGCCAAGCUGUGCACCGUGGAAGUCAGCGCUGAGAUAAACUGGCAACAAUAUGACAUAGAAUCAUAGAAUCCUGAGAGACAUGAAGCGAUACUGUGGGAUUAAUAGCCAAGAUAUUAUAGUCUGUGAAAGAUUCUCUCUUAUUUCAAAGGAACCAGGUUUGCUACCGAGUUUCCUUGUCCCCGGGGCUACUUUAACCCCGAUCCCAUGACACAGAGCUUGGACAGCUGCUUGCCCUGCCCACCUGGGCAUUACUGUGGGAAGGAGAACUUGACAGCUCCAUCAGGCAAGUGUGAUGCAGGUUGGUUUUGCAUCUCUGCUGCUUGGACCUCGCAGCCUUUUGACCUGGAUAACUACACCAGUGCCAACUGCCUCUGCCCAGCCACUGCCACCGGAGGGAAGUGCAUAGCUGGUUUCUAUUGCCCCGAAGGAAGCCCAGAGCCUCUUCCCUGCCAUGCGGGGUUUUACUGCAAUGCCUCAGGUCUGUCUGUGCCUAGUGGGGAAUGUUCUGCUGGAUUUUACUGUAAAGGUGGAGCAGUCCUCCCUAAUCCAACAGAUGAUGUGACUGGGAAUAUCUGCCCUGCGGGGACUUACUGCACUGCGGGGUCAGCAGAGCCCAAGCUGUGCCCAGCUGGCACCUUCUCCAGCCUGCCAGGGAGGAGAACGCUUGCUGAGUGCCAACCUUGUCCCUCUGGCUUCUACUGCGAGGGUCCUGGACUCAGUGCCCCCACUGGAGAGUGCUGGGAAGGCUAUUACUGUGACAACCAGCAAGGGCCAGUUAUUGAUUUCACCCUUUACCCGUGCUCACAAGGCUUUUACUGCCCACAAGGGACGAGCAGGAGCACUCAGUACAGCUGUCCUGCGGGAACGUUUGGGCCAAGGCAAAAACUGAAAGCUGUCAAAGAAUGUCAAAGCUGCCCACCAGGAAAAUACUGUGAAUUCUCUGGACUUGCUGCCCCAACAGGAGACUGUGCUGAGGGAUUUUGGUGCAGAAUUGGUGCCCGGGUAAGAAAUCCUCAAGAUAGGGAAUCGGGAUCUCCUUGUCCUCCUGGUCAUUAUUGUCCAGAAGGUAGCAUACUUUGCUAA